AGCUGCCCCCCGUUCCAUAUUUUUAUUGGAAUGAUACAGAGAAGAUUAGCAUGGCCCCUGCGCAAGGAUGACACACAAAUUAGUGAAGAAUUAGAGAAAAUU